AGAGUGAACAGAGGACAGGUUCGUUCAAAGUCAGAGGAGCCUUCAACAAGUGCCUUGUCCUGAGUGGGGAGAAGCCAGGCACCCAUGUGACUACUGCCUCCUCAGGAAACCACGGUUUGGCUUGUACAUUAGCCAUGAAGACAGUUGGGCUGAGAGGAACAAUCUUCCUGGGAGAGAAUGUGUCCAAGACAAAGGAGUUGGCCCUGGUCAGAGAGGGAGCCGUCCUGAGGCAUCAUGGGACAGACUGUGUAGAGACGGAGAACAAAGCGAGGCAGACUGCCCGGGAAGAAGGGAUUGAGUACAUAUCCCCAUACAAUGAUAUGGAGGUCAUGACCGGACAGGGGACAAUAGG